CCUACCGCAAAAAUGCUAGUGACUUUUAUCUUGGAAAACAAGAACUGCAAACGAGCCUGAAAGUUUCUUCUAAAAACUUUGCUAACAAUGUAUCAGUAGUUGUUGGGAUCGUGUACAAGGAUCUCCAUGAAGUAUUAGUUACAGAUCAACCCUUCAGAACCAUAACGGGCACCACAAGGUAUUUGGACUCCGGGAUAACGGCCGUGGCUAUAGAUCCAAAACCAGAAAAGUUACAAGAGAAUGUCAUUUUAAGGUUCAGAAAUACGAAGGUA